rnacentral:rRNA from 1 species
GACGAACGCUGGCGGCGUGCCUAAUACAUGCAAGUCGAGCGAAGUUUUUCUGGUGCUUGCACUAGAAAAACUUAGCGGCGAACGGGUGAGUAACACGUAAAGAACCUGCCUCAUAGACUGGGACAACUAUUGGAAACGAUAGCUAAUACCGGAUAACAGUAUUUCUCGCAUGAGAGAUAUUUAAAAGUUGGUUAUGCUAACACUAUGAGAUGGCUUUGCGGUGCAUUAGCUAGUUGGUGGGGUAAUGGCCCACCAAGGCGACGAUGCAUAGCCGACCUGAGAGGGUGAUCGGCCACACUGGGACUGAGACACGGCCCAGACUCCUACGGGAGGCAGCAGUAGGGAAUCUUCCGCAAUGGGCGAAAGCCUGACGGAGCAACGCCGCGUGAGUGAAGAAGGAUUUCGGUUCGUAAAGCUCUGUUGUUAGGGAAGAAUGGAUAUGUAGUAACUAUACAUGUAAGAGACGGUACCUAACCAGAAAGCCACGGCUAACUACGUG